rnacentral:rRNA from 1 species
UUGGAAUGAUGGUGACCCAAACCCUCACCAGAGUAGCAAUUGGAGGGCAAGUCUGGUGCCAGCAGCCGCGGUAAUUCCAGCUCCAAUAGCGUAUAUUAAACUUGUUGCAGUUAAAAAGCUCGUAGUUGUAUUUUUGCGUUAGCGGUUUGACCAUUUGGUUGGUUAUUUCGUUUUCGCUUUUGGGAAUUUCCCUUUUUACUUUGAGAAAAUUAGAGUGUUUCAAGCAGACUUUUGUCUUGAAUACUUCAGCAUGGAAUAAUAGAGUAGGACUUUGGUUCUAUUUUGUUGGUUAUUGAACCUUAGUAAUGGUUAAUAGGAACGGUUGGGGGCAUUCGUAUUUAACUGUCAGAGGUGAAAUUCUUAGAUUUGUUAAAGACGAACUACUGCGAAAGCAUUUGCCAAGGACGUUUCCAUUAAUCAAGAACGAAAGUUAGGGGAUCGAAGACGAUCAGAUACCGUCGUAGUCCUAACCAUAAACUAUGCCGACUAGUGAUUGGAGGUCGUCG